rnacentral:rRNA from 1 species
GCCUAUGGCCGCACCACCUGAAAAGAGCCCAAUCUCAUCUGAUCUCAAAAGCAGGGCCGGGCCUGGUUAAUAGUUGAAUGGGAGACCGCCUGGGAAUAGUAGGUGUCGUAGGUU